rnacentral:rRNA from 1 species
UACGUAGGGUGCAAGCGUUGUCCGGAAUUUAUUGGGCGUAAAGAGCUCGUAGGCGGUCUGUCGCGUCGGCUGUGAAAACUCGGGGCUCAACUCCGAGCUUGCAGUCGAUACGGGCAGGCUAGAGUUCGGCAGGGGAGACUGGAAUUCUGGUGUAGCGGUGAAAUGCGCAGAUAUCAGGAGGAACACCGGUGGCGAAGGCGGGUCUCUGGGCCGAUACUGACGCUGAGGAGCGAAAGCGUGGGGAGCGAACAGG